AGUGAACGCUGGCGGUAGGCCUAACACAUGCAAGUCGAACGGCAGCACAGUAAGAGCUUGCUCUUACGGGUGGCGAGUGGCGGACGGGUGAGGAAUACAUCGGAAUCUACUUUUUCGUGGGGGAUAACGUAGGGAAACUUACGCUAAUACCGCAUACUACCUACGGGUGAAAGCAGGGGAUCUUCGGACCUUGCGCGAUUGAAUGAGCCGAUGUCGGAUUAGCUAGUUGGCGGGGUAAAGGCCCACCAAGGCGACGAUCCGUAGCUGGUCUGAGAGGAUGAUCAGCCACACUGGAACUGAGACACGGUCCAGACUCCUACGGGAGGCAGCAGUGGGGAAUAUUGGACAAUGGGCGCAAGCCUGAUCCAGACAUACCGCGUGGGUGAAGAAGGCCUUCGGGUUGUAAAGCCCUUUUGUUGGGAAAGAAAAGCAGCAGGUUAAUACCCCGCUGUUCUGACGGUACCCAAAGAAUAAGCACCGGCUAACUUCGUG
rnacentral:rRNA from 1 species